AACAGGAUUAGAUACCCUGGUAGUCCACGCCCUAAACGAUGUCUACUAGUUGUCGGGACUUAAUUGUCUUGGUAACGCAGCUAACGCGUGAAGUGGACCGCCUGGGGAGUACGGUCGCAAGAUUAAAACUCAAAGGAAUUGACGGGGACCCGCACAAGCGGUGGAUGAUGUGGAUUAAUUCGAUGCAACGCGAAAAACCUUACCUACCCUUGACAUGGCAGGAAUCCCGAAGAGAUUUGGGAGUGCUCGCAAGAGAACCUGCACACAGGUGCUGCAUGGCUGUCGUCAGCUCGUGUCGUGAGAUGUUGGGUUAAGUCCCGCAGCGAGCGCAACCCUUGUCAUUAGUUGCUACGAAAGGGCACUCUAAUGAGACUGCCGGUGACAAACCGGAGGAAGGUGGGGAUGACGUCAAGUCCUCAUGGCCCUUAUGGGUAGGGCUUCACACGUCAUACAAUGGUACAUACAGAGGGCCGCCAACCCGCGAGGGGGAGCUAAUCCCAGAAAGUGUAUCGUAGUCCGGAUUGUAGUCUGCAACUCGACUACAUGAAGUUGGAAUCGCUAGUAAUCGCGGAUCAGCAUGUCGCGGUGAAUACGUUCCCGGGUCUUGUACACACCGCCCGUCACACCAUGGGAGCGGGUUCUGCCAGAAGUAGGUAGCUUAACCGCAAGGAGGGCGCUUACCACGGCAGGGUUCGUGACUGGGGUGAAGUCGUAACAAGGUAGCCGUAAAU
rnacentral:rRNA from 1 species